CCUACGGGAGGCAGCAGUGAGGAAUAUUGGUCAAUGGACGCGAGCCUGAACCAGCCAUGCCGCGUGCAGGAAGACGGCCCUAUGGGUUGUAAACCUCUUUUGUCGGGGAGCAAAGCGAGCCACGUGUGACUUAUUGAGAGUACCCGAAGAAAAAGCAUCGGCUAACUCCGUGCCAGCAGCCGCGGUAAUACGGAGGAUGCGAGCGUUAUCCGGAUUUAUUGGGUUAAACGGGUGCGCAGGCGGAGGUGCAAGUCAGCGGUAAAAUUGCGGGGCUCAACCCCGUACUGCCGUUGAAACUGGAUGCCUUGAGUGCGCGAGAGGUAUGCGGAAUGCGUGGUGUAGCGGUGAAAUGCAUAGAUAUCACGCAGAACUCCGAUUGCGAAGGCAGCAUACCGGCGCGCAACUGACGCUCAUGCACGAAAGCGUGGGUAUCGAACAGGAUUAGAUACCCUUGUAGUC
rnacentral:rRNA from 1 species